CACAACACACACAAAGCACACACACACAAAGCACAGCAGGUGCAACACUAGCUGCAAGCACAAGAAGUAGGCAGCAAUGGCGAGGCAUCGCCUCCUCGCCGUGCUCCUCAUCGGAAUAGUUGCAGCCUCCGCCUUCAACCAAGCAGCUGCGGCUGGCCGAGGCCUUGCUGCCGUCGAGAAGUUUGCAGAGCUAGAGCCAAAGCCAGAACCCAAACCAGAGCCAAUGGCCAAACCUAUGCCGCCGCACCCAGAGCCAGAGCCUUGCAAACCUGAACCGAUGCCCAAACCCAAACCAAAGCCCGAACCAAAACCCGGACAGAAGCCCGAUCCAGAACCCAAGCCCAAGCCUAUGCCAAAACCAAAGCACAAGCAUUGCUCCAAACCAAAGCCAGGUCCUAAGCCCGAGCCAAUGCCGAAACCCGAACCAAAGCCGGAGCCCGAGCCUAAACCUGAAUCAAAACCGAAGCCUCCUCCUAAGUGCAAGCCACCGACAGCUCACAAUUGAUGGGAUACUUAUAUAUGACAGUUGAUGGAGGAGACCCCAUACGGAGCCACACUAUGCUAUUUCUAGAAUAAGUGGUGUAGUAUUUCUUGUAUUCCAUCUAUUUCUAUUGUUCCAUGCAUGUGUGAUGAGUAUUAGUACUCUGUAAUUUCUUUUUUGCUUGUUGGUAUAUGUUCAUCUACUUUGUAUGUGACUCGACUCGUUGUUCUUUUGAGUAUCUACGCAUGAUUGUAUUCAUUCACAUGAAUGAACUAUUUUGUCAGUGAACUGCAGUCUAUGUUGUCUUCUCUAUGGUGUGCAGUCUCAGUUAUUUUCUCUAUGGGAUUGUUUUUCAUAUUAUGUGGUCUUUUUGGGGGGGAAAGAUGAUGUCAACAAAAAGGAAGAGAAGGAUUCCCCAAAUAGCAGCACAUAUAUCACAUAUGAAGUGUAUAGUGUGCGUGUGCGUGUCUAGUGUUCUAGAUGUAUAAAGUGUACUCACACGCCAAACAGCGGCCUUUGUUCUCUACCCUUCACCUAUGAACUAAGUCCCGACCGAGUGCAUUAGUAUUUAUGCCCAGGCUCCGUGAGUGAGCUGGCUCUGCUGCUGGUUAUACUAGGUAAACGUCACACACAUUGCUACGGAAAUUUAUAGCAAUGAAAUUAUGAAAAAUAGCAUCUAUGGGAAUAAUACCACACAACAUUCGCACAUAUGACGAUAGAAAACCUAGAUGUAACUGGAGGUGGAUGCAUGUUAUAUUGUCUUGUGACCUUCAAGUUUAAUUAUUUUUUGCUGAAAUAUAAAUAGUAAAUAUAAUGUGGCGAAGAGCUUUCAUGUCUUUUGAUGAUGUGGAGGACUUGCAUAUGAUGGAAAGUGAAAAUUUGAGUGAUUACAUGCACGCUUGAUGAUAUGGAGGACUUACGUGUGUUGAAAAGUGGUUAGUGAAAGUUGAUUGGUUGCAUGCCCUUCAUAAUGUGAUUGACAUGCAUGUGCAAUUAAAUGGGAUGAAUUACUUAGAUAUAUAGCAUAUGUGUGAAAGGUAGCUACACCCCCUAGGUCAAGAUUGCCAAUAAAAGGCACCAUGAAAAUUAUUAUUAACACAUUUUCUCUUACUCAAUUCGCAACAAGAAAAAUCUCAUAGUGAUGGUGCUAGGCAACAUACGAGAGACCAUAAUAAUCUCUCACCGCCCCAUGGUACUGGCAGGGCCUGCCCUAUGAUUUUGAAAGCCCUUGGGUGAAGUUGGCGAAUUGAUUGUCUUUCGUUUCAGCACCCGACAAAUCCUUUUUAAGCAACAUUAGAGUAACCCUAAAACUGAAGAGGAAAGUAAAUACAUAAAAUAGAAUUUUAGAUAUUAGAGCCCUAACAUUUAACAUGCUUCAACGAAUGGGUGGCACUAGUAAUAUGGUUAUGGGUGUGUGGAAUGAGAGGCCUGGAGAAUGACAUGCUGGUGCCUCGGUGUCAUAGACAUCUGAGGAGGCGGCGAGACUCACGUCGUCAAGCUUACCCGUGAAGACGAAGAUUGCGAAUUGCAAUUAGGAGAACUGGUGAUGCCAUAAGAAAAUGUUCAUCACGCAUUUGUAAAAUGUUUUCAAAAUAUCAAACAUUUUGCAAAUACACAUAGAACUAAAAAGUGUUCAUAUUUUUCCAAAAAUACAGUGUGAACAUUUUGAACAAUACAGAAUGAAGAUUUCUUUUAAUACAUGAUGAACCAUUGAAAUAACAAUAUUUUCUGAAAAUACAAAAUGAUUUUUUUAAAUCCAUGAUAAUUUUUAACUACACAGUAAAUAUUUUGUUCACGCACGAUGAACAUUUUGUAGAAACAUGAGUGAACAAUGUCUGACGCCGGUGAGGGAGGGGCGAUGAUGGUGGUGCACUUUCGGCUUGAUCGAGUGAUUUUAGACAUCGCUGGGUGGUCUAUGGACCUGUAUGUAUAUUCUAUUUCUUCUGGUAAUCUUAUACUGACAUGUCAGUUCAUAAAUAGAUCCGAAUUUUUUUCGUAAAAAAAUAAGAAAAAUGUUCAACUUGUCUUAGUAAUUGUUCCUGAGAUUUAAAAAAAAAUAUUCGCAUUGUUUCAAAAAAACAUUACAUUUCAAUUUUUUCACAUGUUUAGAAAAUUGUUCAUGGCAAUAUUAAAAACGUUCAGGAAAUAUAAAAAAAAGUUGUAUUACAGUUUAUAAUAAUGUUCGUGGUAUAUAAAAAUUGUUCAUGAUGUUUAGAAAACGUCCAAACAUGUAUUGGAAAAAUAUUCUAUGUGUAAUUAAAAAAUGUUUAAUAUUUUGAAAACAAUCAACAUGUAUUUGAAAUAUGCAAAAUGAAAAAAAACUUGAAAGAAAAUGAACAGAAAAGUAAAAGGGAAAAAAUGAAAAUGAAAACCUAAACAAACCUGAUAAAGAAAACAGAUAAAACAAUCCAAAUAAAACAUUCUGAAAAUCGCAUGAAACAAACCAAUGCUACACCGCCUCCACUGCUACUGGGCCAGAGCCCGCACCGCAUCGCCAAAGGUGAGCGCCUCGCAGUACCUAGAGACAUAGCAUUUGCGCAAAAUGACCGCACUACGUAGAGACAUAGCAUUUGCGCAAAAUGACCGCACGCAUUGAACCAACUGUUGGCUGGCUAGUUAUUAGAAUGACAUGUAACUUUAUUCAAACUCAACAAAAUUAUAGGUACAAUGCCAAAAUAUGAUACAAGAAAUUGCAAAAUAACUCAUAUAACUAGGAAUUACAACGAAACCCUCUUGAGUCAAAAUAUGAUAAACAGAGGAAAAAACAUUGUAGCUCAUAUAAUCCUUACUCUUUUCGAAUAUAGGGCGGUGCUAAACUCGGGAACCCCAUUCGUUUUGGAGCUCCGGCUCCAUGGAGCCUUUUUUGGAAAAGCAUACAUGCAUAACUAAAACACACGCAUGCAUGAGACUGGAGACUGAGGGGCAUGCAACAUCAAAAUAGGUUAGUUUGUCGGAGAGUUAUAAAGAUUUAAUAAUUUUGAGACGAUGCGCAUGAUAAAAUCCUCAUUGGUAUAUACAAUUUUGAAACUGUGCCGAGUAUACGGGGCCAGCGAGAGUGCUUGAGAAAACACGAGUCCGCGAAAACUCGGUCCACGAAAGCAUACCACGGAGCCUUAGGGCUUCCAACAGGUGGUGACGCUCACGCACGAGGUGCACGGUCCGGCCAGUUCCUUUCCAGAGACCUUUGCUUUCCAUUGUGAAUUGAACUGAAGCAUUUGCUUUGUACUACUUUGUAUUGCAUUGCACAAACGUGUACACUGUCUAUCUUAAUUUCUAAAUGAUGGCCGGUCACAUGUACGUGUGAGCACGGGAUUGACAAGGCAACUAACAGAAUUCUAUUACUACGAGGAGGCAACUAAUAGAGUAAAAAUAUUGCCACUCACCCUUAGCUACUAUCAUCACAGAGACACACACGCAAAUCCAGCUGUGCUAUUAACACCUCUAGCUACCUCCGUAGGUCGCUUCAUUUGCAAUCAACUAAUCAACCAAUAUAACUCCAUUGACAUGUUACCCAGUACUACUUGUCACUCCAGCUACCUAGCUGCAAUUCUAAUUAAUGCAGCUUCCAGAUCUGCUUUGUUUCACCGGGCCUAUAAAACUACACAAUCUGUAUCUCCAGCUCUCCACACAACACACACGCGCGCACACACAAAGCGCAGCAGGUUCAACACUAGCUACAAUCACAAGUAGGCAGCAAUGGCGAGGCAUCGCCUCCUCGCCGUGCUCCUCGUCGGCACAGUUGCAGCCUCCGCCUUCAACCAAGCUGCUGCGGCUGGCCGAGGCAUUGCUGUCGUCAGGAAGUUUGCAGAGCUAGAGCCAAAGCCAGAACCGAAACAAGAGCUAAUGCCCAAACCUAUGCCACCCCCAGAGCCAGAGCCCUGCAAACCUGAUCCGAUGCCCAAACCCAAACCAAAGCCCGAACAAAAACCCGGACAAAAGCCCGAACCAGAACCCAAGCCCAAGCCUAUGCCAAAACCAAAGCCCAAGCCCUGCUCCAAACCAAAGCCAGGUCCUAAGCCCGAGCCAAUGCCCAAACCCGAACCAAAGCCGGAGCCCAAGCCUAAACCUGAACCGAAACCGAAGCCGCCUCCGAAGUGCAAACCACCGACAACUCACAAUUGAUGGGAUACUGUAUAUGAGAGUUGAUGGAGGAGACCCCGUACGGAGCCACACUAUGCUAUUUCUAGAAUAAGUGGUGUAGUAUUCCCUGUAUUCCAUUUCUUUCUAUUUUUCCAUGCGCCCGUGAUGACUACUAGUACUCUGUAUUUGUUUUUGCUUGUUGGUAUACGUUCAUCUACUUUGUAUGUGACUCGACUCGUUCUUUUGAGUAUCUAUGCAUGAUUGUAUUCAUUCACAUGAAUUAGCUAUUUUGUUAGUGGACUGCAGUCCAUGUUGUUGUUUUCUAUGGGUUGCAAUCUCAGUUAUUNNNNNNNNNNNNNNNNNNNNNNNNNNNNNNNNNNNNNNNNNNNNNNNNNNNNNNNNNNNNNNNNNNNNNNNNNNNNNNNNNNNNNNNNNNNNNNNNNNNNNNNNNNNNNNNNNNNNNNNNNNNNNNNNNNNNNNNNNNNNNNNNNNNNNNNNNNNNNNNNNNNNNNNNNNNNNNNNNNNNNNNNNNNNNNNNNNNNNNNNNNNNNNNNNNNNNNNNNNNNNNNNNNNNNNNNNNNNNNNNNNNNNNNNNNNNNNNNNNNNNNNNNNNNNNNNNNNNNNNNNNNNNNNNNNNNNNNNNGUCAACAAAAACGAAGAGACGGACUCCCUAAAUUGCAGCACACAUAUGAAAUGUAUAUAGUAUGUGUGUACGUGUCUGGUGUUUUAUUGGAUAGCUUAGAUACAAUCUAUUGAAGUAGUUGUAUGAUAGCUUGUUGGUAGAUGACAUGGACAUUUUACCAACAAGACUAACAUACAAUCUAUUGAAGAUGCCCUUAGACUGCUCACAGUGAGGAGUAACAUAGAGUAGCAACUUACCGAUGUUACUAGUCUAUGUUACUACCUCCAUAGUGGGUAGUAACAUAUGAGUGGUAUCAUGAAAGAGUUCAUUUAUUAGGCUAUAGACUCAUUAUGCCUUGAAAUGUGUGAUGUUAUAGUAACUAUCUAAGUUACCACAAAUCCCUCUCUCUUUAUUAAUUAGCUGCCACAUAAGCAAUCUUGUAUUGAAAUGUGUGAUGUUACUAGUUAAGUUACUCCCAUUGUGACUAGUCUUAGGUACUCCCUCCGUCCGGGUGUACAAGUCAUUCGCGUAGUUCUAGGUCAUCGAUUUGAGGAAUUAAAUAUGUGUUAUAUGUCAUGAAAAGUAUACCACUAGAUUUCCACACGGAUGUAGUUUCUAAAUAUAUAUUUUUUGUCACAUAUAAUACAUAUUUAGAUAGUUAAAUUAUCGACCUAGAACUACGCGAAUGACUUAUACACCGGGACGGAGGUAGUAGUAACUUAACACAUUCCUAGAUAAUUUUGCCUAUGUGGCACGUAUUUAAUGAUGAAAGAGGUGCUUGUAGUAACAUAAUAUGUUGCCGUAACAUAGCGCUUUCUGAGGCAACAUGAGUCUGUGAGCUAAUAAAUGAAGCCAUCUAUGACACUACUACUAUGUUACUUUGCAAUAUGGAGGUAGUAACUUAGACUAGUGUCAUAUGCAUGACACUAGUAUAAGUUACUCCCCACUAUGACCAGCCAUACUAGGUAAACGUCACAUACAUUGCUACGGAAAUUUAUAGCAAUGAAAUUAUAAAAAAUACCAUAUAUGUGAAUAAUACCACACAACAUUCUCAACAUAUGACAAUAUAAAACCUAGAUGUAACUGGAGGGUGGAUGCAUGUUAUAUUGUCUUGUGACCUUCAAGUUUAACUAUUUGUUGUUGAAAGAUAAUAAAUAGUAAAAAAUAAUGAGGUGAAGAGCUUGCGUGUGUCUGAUUAUGUGGAGGGCUUGCAUAUGAUGGAAAGUGAAAAAUCGAAUGAUUACAUGCACCCUUAAUGAUGUGGAAGACUUGCAUGUGAUGAAAAAUGGUAAGUGAAAGUUGAUUGGUCGCAUGUCCUUCAUGAUGUGGUUAAUUUGCAUGUGCAUUUAAAUGGGAUGGCUUAAUUAGAUAUAUAGGAUAUGUGUGUGAAAGGUAACUGCACCCCCUGGUCAAAUUAGUGGCGGAGCUACCCAAAAAUUGCAACACAUUUCUCUCUCUCAAGGCUGGGCCGGCUAUGGCCUAUCUGGCCUUGCUGUAGCUCCAACAAUGAUCAAGACUAUCAAGAAAAGGUACCAUGAAAAUUAUAAUAACAGAUUUUCUCUGACUCAAUUUACAAUAGGAAAAAUCUCUCAUUGAUAGUGCUGCGCAACAUACGAGAGACCACAAUAAUCUCUCACCCAUCCCAUGGUGCUGGCAAGGUCAACAUUUCAAGAUGGUAUGUUGGCUCAGUCUUUCAGACGUGCUCAUAGGGGUAGGGUGUGCGUGUGUGCGUUCAUAGGGGUGAGUGUAUGCGCGCGUAUAUGAGCGCUUGUGUUUGUACUGUGUUCAAAAAUAAUAAUUUUGAGAGCCCUAGUGUGAAAUUGGCAAAUUGAUAGUCUUGUUUUUUCUUUUAUUGCGCAUGAAAACUCCUUUUAAGCAACAUUAUAGUAACCCUAAAACUGACAAGGAAAGUAAAUAAAGUACAUAAGUAGAAUUUUAGAAAUCAGAGCACUAACAUUUAACAUGCUUGGAUGAACGGGUGACUUUCGUAAUAUGGCUAUGGGUACGAGGAAUGAAAGGCCUAGAGAGUGACAAGCUCAUGCUUCACUAUCACAGACGUCUGAGGAGGCGGCGAGACGCUCAUGUCGUCAAGCUACGAGACAAACCUGUGAAGAUGAAGAUCACGAAUUACAAUUAGGAGAACUGGUGAUGCCAUGUGUCUGUGUCGCACACCGAUUAUGAUUCUUUUCCUUUUUAUGGACCAGUUCAACCAACGGCUAAAGGCCUAAAGCUCGCUUCUUGGAGAACGUGUAUACCUCAAUUUUAGGAGAGCUUCUUCUCAGUGCUCAUUAGUGCUGCAGCGCACAAGAGCUCGCGCGCAUGGGUCAUUGCAUUAAAAGGCAAAGCGGUUGCUCGAUUGGCCACCCACUACACUCUUUUUUUGCAAGCCUUUUUUUUUCUGGGAUUGCUCUGUUAUUCAAUGAAAAAUAUCCCACCGGUUUUCUAAAUUUAAAAAUUCAUGAAUAUGAAAAUUUUCAAAAAUUUGAAAAACAAUUACAGUUUGAAGAGAAUGAAUUGAAAAACGUUGACAGUUUUGAAAAAAUCACAAAUUCAUUUUUUGUGAAUUUGAAAAAGGUGAUUCAAAAAAGUUUAUGAAAUUUGAAAAAAAUUCUCAUGAAUAUGAAAAAAUGGUCACAAAUUUGAAAAGAAAUGUUAGAGAAGUUUAAAUUUAAAAUAAUCAGAAAAAGAGGAAAAAGGCAGAAGAGUAAAAAAGAAAAAACAGGACGAAAGUUUCCAUAACCAAAGUUGGCCCAUAAGCUUCUGGAAGCUUCCUAAAACCGACAGGAGGGAGCUUCCGCUCAUGUAAAUGUCAUAGAUUGGGCAGCCCUUUUACAAUCUAGUGAAUCAAGAGGUGCGUGCGCUUUCUAUCAAUAACUUGGAAACCAAUGGUAAAUAGCAUAUUUCCACUUUUAGCGUUCCGUGGAACGGAAUUCGACCACAGAUCCACAGUAUGGGCUAAUCCCAACAUGUUUUUCUAACAAGCUAGUUUUUUCUAUUGGGGCAGAUGUCUCACUCUAACGAGUAGGAUUUUUUUUGUUCUUAUUUUCACAUUUUUCUUUUUAUUUUUUCUAAUUCUCUAGAAAACGCUCUAUAACAUAUAUGGGUGAUCAUAUAAUUUAAUAAGUGUUCAUGUACUUUAAAAAUGUUCAUCACCUAUUUAUAAAACGUUUUCAAAAUAUGGAACGUUUUUAAAAUACAAAUACAAUUACAAAAAGUGUUCAUAUUUUCUGAAAAUAUACACUAUGAACAUUUUGAACAAUACGGAUGAAAAUUUAUUUUAAUACAUGAUGAACCUUUGAUAUCACAAUAUUUUCUAAAAAUACACAAUGAUUUUUAUAUACACAAUAAAUAUGUUGUUCAUACACGAUGAACAUUUUGUAAAAACAUGAGUGAACAUUGCCCAGCUCAGAUGAGGAAGGGGCGAUGAUUGUAGUACGUCUUCGGCUUGCUCGAGUGAUUGUAGACAUCGCUAGGUGGUCUAUGGACCUGAACAUAAGUUCUAUUACCUCUGGUGUUCUUGUAUUGACAUGAUGGUUGAUAAGUAGAUCGGAUUUUUUCAAUAUUUUUUUAAGAAAAAUGUUCAACUUGUCUUACAAAUUGUUCCGAAGAUUAAGAAAAAUAUAUUCGCAUUUUCUAAAAAGAACAUUGCAUUUCAAUUUUUUCACAUGCUUAGAAAAUUGUUCAUGGCAAUAUUAAAAUAUUUGUGAAAUAUAAAAAUGUGUUAUUACAGUUUUGGAAAAAUGUUUGUGGUAUAUAAAUUUUUUUCAUCAUGUAUUUAUAAAACAAUCAAACUUGUAUUAAAAAAAUAUUCUAUGUGUAUUUUAUUUUUUUUAUUUUUUUUAAUAAUUUCAAUAUGUAUUUGAAAAAUAGAAAAAUGAAAAACAAUACAUGAGACAAUGAACAGGAAAAGUAAAAGAGAAACCAAAAAUGAAAAACCUAAAUAAACCCAAGAAAGAAAACCCUGACAAAAUGUUAUGAGAUCACAAGAAACAAACAAAUGCUACACACCUGCACCACUACUGGGCCACAGCCCACACCGCAUCGCCAGAGGUGAGCGCCAUAGCAUUUGCGCAAAAUGACCGCACGAGACAUAGCAUUUGCGCAAAAUGACCGCACAAAUUGAACAAACUGUCGGCCAGCUAGUUAUUAGAAAGACAUGUAACUUAAUUCAAACUCAACAAAAUUAUAGGUACAAUGCUUUGGAUCAUAGAUACAAGAAAUUAGAAAAUAGCUCAUAUAAGUAAGAAUUACAAUGAAACCCUCUUGAGUCAAAAUAUGUUAAACAGAGGAAAAAAACAUUAGCACAUAUAAUCUUUACUCUAUCCGAAUAUAUGGCGGAGCUAAACUCAGCAACCCCAUUAGUUUUGGAGGUCCGGUUUCAUGGAGCCUCUUUUUUUUUGGAAAAUCAUGCAUUAAUAACUACUAGUAAAUGGCACGUGCCAUGCACGUGUAGAGAUAGUUAUUAACACACAUACAUGUGGGUAAUUUUAAGUAGUAUCAUACUCCCUCCGUCCCAAAAUAUAAGAACGUUUUUAACAGUAGCAUAGUGUCAACAACGUUCUUAUAUUCUGGGACAAAGGGAGUAUUUCACAAAAGAAGUUAAGUAGUAUCAUGAUUUGAACUAAUUAAUUAUUAAUUAUAAAACUUUGCAUGAUUUACUAAAUAUAUAUGUGUAAUACCGAAUUUACACAAUAUAGAAUACCAUAAGAAAAAGGAUACCAGGUUCGUCCUCAAAUUUGUCUUAAUAAAGUUUAAGUUUAACUUCAGUUCAAAACUGCGAUACUUACUAUGGCAGAGGAAAUAUUAGAUUGAGCAACGGAGAGAGUAUUGUUUGCAAGUUAUUUAUCGUUAGAAAUAAAAUAAUAAUUUAAACAUUAAUUCUGUCUGUUUUGCAGAUCAGAGUUUUUUCACAGAAUUAUUGAUAAAAACUAAGAAAACAAGGGUAAUAAAUAUUUGUAAAAUAAAUUUAUAAGAGAAAGUAAAAGCUAUUUAAAUGUACAUAUAUUACAUUUUCACCGUUUGCCACUUUUUUUAAUCUGUUUUAGCUUGUGCGCCUUUACCCAGGCUACACCAUCACAUGCUUUCUCUCUCUCUCUCUCGUCAUGAUGCGUACUUGCUAGUUGCUACUGCUAGUACUUCUCGUGCCACUCUACUCUACACCUGCAUGCAUCACCGGAGUCUGCUGGAAAUGGAAAUUUCUGGAUAGUGGCUUGGCUACAAAGAACGCAAGGAGAGUCACAUGCACAUCCUAGAAAGUACUACUACAUCUGAGAGUGGCAGACUGGCAGCACAGAGAAAUGGCCCAGCGAAUCCCUGCAAUGUAGGCCAUUAGAUUGACAUAUCCAGCGGUUCAUAUGCAGCCACGUAUACCGGUAACACAAGCCAUUUAAUUUGAGCCGUCCAAUUAGGAAGAUCCAACGGUUCAUAUGACUUGCUACUCCUAUACUAUAUAGGAGUAUAGAAAACACACGCGUGCAUGAGACUGGAGAAUGAGGGGCAUGCAACAUCAAAAUAGGUUACUUUGUCGGAAGUUAUAAGAUUUAAUAAUUUGAGACAAUACGCAUAAUAAAAUCCUCACUAGUGCAGUGUCAAAAAUGCUCUUAUAUUGUGGGAUGGAGGAGUACAAUUUUGAAAUUGUGCCCAGUAUACCGGGCCAGAGGGAGAGCUUGAGAAAACACUGAGUCAGCGAAAACUCGGUGUACGAAGCAGACCAUGGAGCCUUGGGGCUUCCUAACAGGUGGUGAAGCUCACGCACGAGGUGGCUGCACGACUGGGCCAGUUCCUUUCCGGAGACCUUUCCUUUCCAUUCAUUGUGAAUUGAACUGAAGCGAUUGCUUUUUACAAACGUGUACACUGUCUAUCUUAAUUUCUAAAUGAUGGCCGGUCACAUGGACGUGUGAGCACGGGAUUGACAGGGAAACUAACAGAAUUCUACUACUACGAGGAGGCAACUGAUAAAGUAAAAAUAUUGCUACUCACCCUACUAUCAUCAGAUGGAGACACACAAACAUAAUCCACUGGACAAGGCAACUAACAUAAUUUCUAUUACCACGAGGUUGCAACUAAUAGAGUAAAAAUAUUGUUACUCACACGUACUAUCAUCACAGAGACACACACGCAGAAUCCAGCUGUGCUUAUUAACACCUCUAGCUACCUACGUACGUAGGUUGCUUCAUUUCUAAUCAACUAAUCAACCAAUAUAACUCCACUGCCAUGUUAUACAGUACUACAGUACUUGUCACUCCAGCUAGGUAACUGCAAUGCUAAUUAAUGCAGCCUCCAGAUCUGCUUUGUUUCACCCAGCCUAUAAAACCACACAAUAUGUACCUCCAGUUCUCACACAACACACACACACACAAAACACUAGCUGCAAGCACAAGAAGUAGGCAGCAAUGGCGAAGCAUCGCCUCCUCGCCGUGCUCCUCAUCGGGAUAGUUGCAGCCUCCUCUUUCAACCAAGCAGCUGCGGCUAGCCGAGGCCUUGUUGUCGUUGGGAAGUUCACAGAGCUAGAGCCAAAGCCGGAACCCAAACCAGAGCCAAUGCCCAAACCUAUGCCCCACCCAGAGUCAGAGCCCUGCAAACCUGAACCGAUGCCCAAACCCGAACCAAAGCCUGGACAGAAGCCUGAACCAGAACCCAAGCCCAAGCCGAUGCCAAAACCAAAGCCCAAGCCCUGCUCCAAAUCGAAGCCUGAGCCGAUGCCAAAACCGGAACCAAAGCCGGAGCCCAAGGCUAAACCUGAACCGAAACCGAAGCCGCCUCCAAAGUGCAAACCACUGGCAACGCACAAUUGAUGGGAUACUUAUAUAUGACACUUGAUGGAGGAGAACCCGUACGGAGCCACACUAUGCUAUUUUUAGAAUAAGUAAUGCAUUAUUCCCUGUAUUCAAUUUCUUUCUAUUGUUUCAUGCACGCGUGAUGAGUAUUAGUACUCUGUAAUUAUUAUUUGCUUGUUGGUAUAUGUUCAUCUACUUUGUAUAUGACCUGACUCAUAGUUCUUUUGAGUAUCAAUGCAUGAUUGUGUUCAUUCGCAUGAAUGAACUAUUUUGUCCAGUGGACUGCUGUCUAUGUUGUUUUCUCUGUG
rnacentral:lncRNA from 1 species